AGAGAAUAUAAGUAAUCUUCAUAUUGUUGACACCCUUCCAUUUAAAACGACAAUAAAUUUGGAUGACGACCCUCUAGUUGAUGAUGUACAUGCAAUUCGGGAAGAUCACAAUGAGGGAAUACACAUAUGACCAAUCCAUAUGAUUAUAUAUAUGACUAAGGCACUACAUUCGUCUGAGGAUGAAGUCCCCACUUCUAGACCCACUAGAGGAGCGACGAGGUGUAGACAACUUGAACUUAGAAGAAAUGCAGGAGAGAGGACACCUAUGAUUAUUGACGUGGUCACUGGAGUAGCAUCUGGACCAAAUGCAGAUGAAUUUAGGUCUUACCUUGGAGUACUAGCACAUGAUCGUAUCUCUAUACUUACUUCAUCCUUUGACCAUGUAUCUAAGGUCGAUCGGAAUCUUAUCUGGCAAGAUCUAUUGUUGAUGAAGAAACAUGGCGUCAGUUUGUAGAGCUUCGUUCAUUCGAGACGUGGCAGCAAACAAGGUCAAAAGCACAAGGUAUAAGUGCUUUGAAUAAAAAUCCACACAUGCUGUCUCGUGGUGGAUACAAGAAGCUUGAGGAAAACAUAAUGAAGCAGAAGUCAGAUAGUAGACUUCUACUUUUUGAGGGUGGUGACCCUCCUCCUCCUCUUUCACCACCAUCUCAACACGAGAAGUGGAAGUUAGCCCGUAUAAGAUCAUCGGGCUCCUACACUUCACUGCCAGAGAUAUCUGAAAGAACUCUCCCAAGGUCAAUUCACACAAGAAGGUCGUUAGGAUAUUCUUGCCACAGCUAUUGGACGACUUAAGCACCCAGGACAGGUGCGUGCUGCUGGGACUGACAUAAGCAUACGACAAUAAUUUGGGUCUUCCUCGCGUCCAUCUUCAUAUGAAAAACUGAAGGAGUUGUAUGAUGAAGUUGCUGAAAUGGUUGCGCACCAAUUCGAGCAGCGUUAUGAGCAUUAUGGCAAUCAUCCUCCGCCAUCUCCUGUAGCGGAACAUGUUGUGCCCCCUACAAGUAGAAGUGGUAAAGGAAGUUGCUCAGCUACUGGUGCCCCAGGGGACGAAAUGGACGACACUUGUCCAUGUCAACUAUAUAUUAUCUCUCCUACUAGGACCAUGCUAGUGGUUCGUGGCAUAGUCUAUUAGACGGCCACUAUAGUGCAUGGUGUACAACUAGCAGAAGAUGAGGUCAAUGGAAGAGAUAAUGGAAGAGGCAUUUAAGUCCUUCGUCACCUUGCCUAGACAUUUGGUUGGUGAUGUAUCUGACCCCCCGACAGGUCAAGAGGGAAGUCGUACACCGAAGAAGACUCAUUUAUCUGAGGACGACCCUCUUGGUGCGUUAGACGAGCUUGUUAACAUCAUUUCAGAUGCGCCGAUGAUUGUACCAUGGGAUUCUACUACAUUUGGAAGAGAUAAUGAGAUCCCACUAUACUUGAAUGCCCAAGAUGCUAGGGAGCUUGCAUCGGGGAGAGAAGAAAUUAAUAUUACACUCCUUCAACUGUGGAUGAUGUAUAUGUUUGGUGUGAGUAAAAAGAGGGGGUUCAAUGAUGUAUAUGGGUUCAUUGACCCCUAUAUGACUCAUGAAAGAAAUAAAUUUGAUGAAAUCCAAACAUACAUCACCACCUGCUUUGGAAUGGGGAAGGACAUAUAUUUCCUCCCUUAUAUGCUUGGGCAUCAUUGAGAGCUACUUAUGAUCUUCAUACUAGAGAACACUACUGUCUGGUUUUGUUUAUUGCACAAGUCUCCUCCCAGCCCUCUUAGUCAUGUAGUAGAUUGAGAUUCAAUAUGACUACUCCAAUUCCAUAGAAGUCACUUAAACUCGUGAGCAAAACACUGGCUAAAUAUAUAAUUCAACUAUAUAAUAGUAUGUAGUAGAUAUUAGGAUAUAAUAAGUUAUACGUUUAUGCUUCUAAGUUGUUUUAUGCUUUUGUACAUUAUUAUUAGUUUAACUUUGUACAUUGGAUUAUUUAUGCUUCAAAUAUG